AGGGAAACCAGAGUGUUUCAGG
rnacentral:siRNA from 1 species